AUAAAGGUUCAUAUUGAGAACACAGCACAUGUGAGGUCCCUAUGUCACUGGUCACAUACAGUAUAUAUAUAUAUAAUGUGUAACAACUGUAAUAAAGGUUCAUAUUGAGAACACAGCACAUGUGAGGUCCCUAUGUCACCGGUCACAUACAGUAUAUAUAUAUAUAAUGUGUAACAACUGUAAUAAAGGUUCAUAUUGAGAACACAGCACAUGUGAGGUCCCUAUGUCACUGGUCACAUAUAUAUAUAUAUAAUGUGUAACAACUGUAAUAAAGGUUCAUAUUGAGAACACAGCACAUGUGAGGUCCCUAUGUCACUGGUCACAUACAGUAUAUAUAUAUAAUGUGUAACAACUGUAAUAAAGGUUCAUAUUGAGAACACAGCACAUGUGAGGUCCCUAUGUCACUGGUCACAUACAGUAUAUAUAUAUAUAAUGUGUAACAACUGUAAUAAAGGUUCAUAUUGAGAACACAGCACGUGUGAGGUCCCUAUGUCACUGGUCACAUAUAUAUAUAUAAUGUGUAACAACUGUAAUAAAGGUUCAUAUUGAGAACACAGCACGUGUGAGGUCCCUAUGUCACUGGUCACAUAUAUAUAUAUAAUGUGUAACAACUGUAAUAAAGGUUCAUAUUGAGAACACAGCACAUGUGAGGUCCCUAUGUCACUGGUCACAUAUAUAUAUAUAAUGUGUAACAACUGUAAUAAAGGUUCAUAUUGAGAACACAGCACAUGUGAGGUCCCUAUGUCACUGGUCACAUAUAUAUAUAUAUAUAUAAUGUGUAACAACUGUAAUAAAGGUUCAUAUUGAGAACACA